rnacentral:rRNA from 1 species
CACGUAGGGUGCGAGCGUUGUCCGGAAUUAUUGGGCGUAAAGAGCUCGUAGGCGGUGUGUCGCGUCGGCCGUGAAACCUGCAGCUUAACUGUGGGCUUGCGGUCGAUACGGGCAUCACUGGAGUUCGGCAGGGGAGACUGGAAUUCCUGGUGUAGCGGUGAAAUGCGCAGAUAUCGAGGAGGGAACACCCUGGCGGCGAAGGCGGGUUGGCUGGGCCGACACUG